AUUGAACGCUGGCGGCAGGCCUAACACAUGCAAGUCGAACGAGUGGCGGACGGGUGAGUAAUGUCUGGGAAACUUCCUGAUGGAGGGGGAUAACUACUGGAAACGGUAGCUAAUACCGCAUACCAUCAGAUGUGCCCAGAUGGGAUUGGCUUGUUGGUGGGGUAACGGCUCACCAAGGCGGCGAUCCCUAUCUGGUCUGAGAGGAGGACCGGCCACACGGGAACUGAGACACGGUCCAGAGGCCGACGGGAGGCAUCAGUGGGGUAUAGUGCACAAUGGGCGCAAGCCUGAUGCAGCCAGGCCGCGUGUAUGAAGAAGGCCUUCGGGUUGUAAAGUACUUUCAGCGGGGAGGCGUUACCCGCAGAAGAAGCACCGGCUAACUCCGUGCCAGCAGCCGCGGUAAUAC
rnacentral:rRNA from 1 species